AGUGAACGCUGGCGGUAGGCCUAACACAUACAAGUCGAACGGCAGCACAGGAGAGCUUGCUCUCUGGGUGGCGAGUGGCGGACGGGUGAGGAAUACAUCGGAAUCUACUCUGUCGUGGGGGAUAACGUAGGGAAACUUACGCUAAUACCGCAUACGACCUACGGGUGAAAGCAGGGGACCUUCGGGCCUUGCGCGAUUGAAUGAGCCGAUGUCGGAUUAGCUAGUUGGCGGGGUAAAGGCCCACCAAGGCGACGAUCCGUAGCUGGUCUGAGAGGAUGAUCAGCCACACUGGAACUGAGACACGGUCCAGACUCCUACGGGAGGCAGCAGUGGGGAAUAUUGGACAAUGGGCGCAAGCCUGAUCCAGCCAUACCGCGUGGGUGAAGAAGGCCUUCGGGUUGUAAGGCCCUUUUGUUGGGAAAGAAAUCCAGCUGGCUAAUACCCGGUUGGGAUGACGGUACCCAAAGAAUAAGCACCGGCUAACUUCGUGCCAGCAGCCCGCCGUAA
rnacentral:rRNA from 1 species